rnacentral:rRNA from 1 species
UGGGGAAUUUUGGACAAUGGGCGAAAGCCUGAUCCAGCAAUGCCGCGUGUGUGAAGAAGGCCUUCGGGUUGUAAAGCACUUUUGUCCGGAAAGAAAUCCUUGGCUCUAAUACAGUCGGGGGAUGACGGUACCGGAAGAAUAAGCACCGGCUAACUACGUGCCAGCAGCCGCGGUAAUACGUAGGGUGCAAGCGUUAAUCGGAAUUACUGGGCGUAAAGCGUGCGCAGGCGGUCUGCUAAGACCGAUGUGAAAUCCCCGGGCUCAACCUGGGAACUGCAUUGGUGACUGGCAGGCUAGAGUAUGGCAGAGGGGGGUAGAAUUCCACGUGUAGCAGUGAAAUGCGUAGAGAUGUGGAGGAAUACCGAUGGCGAAGGCAGCCCCCUGGGCCAAUACUGACGCUCAUGCACGAAAGCGUGGGGAGCAAAACAGGAUUAGAUACCCUGGUAGUCCACGCCCUAAACGAUGUCAACUAGUUGUUGGGGGAUUUCAUUUCCUUAGUAACGUAGCUAACGCGUGAAGUUGACCGCCU